rnacentral:rRNA from 1 species
GACGAACGCUGGCGGCGCGCCUAACACAUGCAAGUCGAACGAGCGAGAGGAGGUUUACUUUCUCAAGCGAGUGGCGAACGGGUGAGUAACGCGUGAGGAACCUGCCUCAAAGAGGGGGACAACAGUUGGAAACGACUGCUAAUACCGCAUAAGCCCACGACCCGGCAUCGGGUAGAGGGAAAAGGGGCAAUCCGCUUUGAGAUGGCCUCGCGUCCGAUUAGCUAGUUGGUGAGGUAAUGGCCCACCAAGGCGACGAUCGGUAGCCGGACUGAGAGGUUGAACGGCCACAUUGGGACUGAGACACGGCCCAGACUCCUACGGGAAGCAGCAGUGGGGAAUAUUGCACAAUGGGGGAAACCCUGAUGCAGCGACGCCGCGUGGAGGAAGAAGGUCUUCGGAUUGUAAACUCCUGUUGUUGAGGAAGAUAAUGACGGUACUCAACAAGGAAGUGACGGCUAACUACGUG